CUUACGGAGAGUUUGAUCCUGGCUCAGAACGAACGCUGGCGGCGUGCUUAAUACAUGCAAGUCGAACG
rnacentral:rRNA from 1 species